rnacentral:rRNA from 1 species
CCUACGGGCGGCAGCAGUGAGGAAUAUUGGUCAAUGGCCGGAAGGCUGAACCAGCCAUGCCGCGUGAAGGUCAGUGCCCUAUGGGCGUUAAACUUCUUUUGUGCGGGAGCAAUAAUGGUCACGUGUGGCCAGACGAGAGUACCGUACGAAUAAGCAUCGGCUAACUCCGUGCCAGCAGCCGCGGUAAUACGGGGGAUGCAAGCGUUGUCCGGAUUUAUUGGGUUUAAAGGGUGCGUAGGCUGUGAGGUAAGUCAGCGGUGAAAUGCCCCCGCUCAACGGGGUGAAGUGCCAUUGAUACUGCCUGGCUGGAAUGCGGAUGCCGUGGGAGGAAUGUGUGGGGUAGCGGUGAAAUGCAUAGAUAUCACACAGAACACCGAUUGCGAAGGCAUCUCACGAAUCCGCGAUUGACGCUGAUGCACGAAAGCGUGGGUAUCAAACAGGAUUAGAUACCCCGGUAGUC